rnacentral:snRNA from 1 species
UGAGCUUCUCGGCUUUUUGGCUAAGAUCAAGUGUAGUAUCUGUUCUUAUCAGUUGGGAUGUAAAAGCCUCUUCUGGUUCGACGGAUAAACACUUGAUCCUCU